CUCCCCUGGAGCUCUGCAGUGAGCCUAGGAUAUGGCAUCUUUAUGUUCAUUGAUUAUACACCUACAUUGUUUGUCCAAAUUUCAUGAGAGCCAGCUAUUGGAUUCCCCUCAUAUUAACAUGUGGAGAAAGAAAUUAAAGUAGAUUUUCUUGUCUUAACCUGAAUUUCUGAGAGUGGAAAACUGGAAAGCACUACAGAAAUAAGCUACUUCAAGAAUUAUCAUCUUAAUACAGUGCUCAGUUUGUCCAGAAGCUCCUUGUCUGUUACACUUUUGACCACACUAAAAAUCUAUAGUGUGUAGGAGUGAUGUCCUCCAGGGCACACCAUAAGACAAUGUCACUUUUUGCUGGAGGCAGAUGUGCAUAUGCAUUUCUCCUGCCUGAAGAUGAUCUACUAGAAUAAUUUCUAUCCCACACAGAGGACUUCAGUGAGAAAUUCUGCAUGCUUAAAAAAAAAAGGCAGAGGUGAUGCUAAGUACAUCCAGUUCCUUCAUGCCUCUAAAAAUAUUACAUAAAUCUUGC